rnacentral:rRNA from 1 species
GACGAACGCUGGCGGCGUGCUUAACACAUGCAAGUCGAACGAAGUGGCGAACGGGUGAGUAACGCGUAAUCAACCUGCCCUUCAGAGGGGGACAACAGUUGGAAACGACUGCUAAUACUGCAUACUGAAGGAGGGGAUUGCGUCUGAUUAGCUAGUUGGAGGGGUAACGGCCCACCAAGGCGAUGAUCAGUAGCAGGUCUGGGAGGAUGAACGGCCAAAUUGGGACUGGGGAACGGCCCAGAAUCCUACGGGAGGCAGCAGUGGGGAAUCUUCCGCAAUGGAGGAAAGGCUGACGGAGCAAAGCCGCGGGAGGGAUGACGGCCUUCGGGUUGUAAAGCUCUGUUAAUCGGGACGCGGUACCGGAAUAGAAAGCCACGGCUAACUACGUGCCAGCAGCCGCGGUAAUUC